AUGGACGACGACAUCGACAGCUCCUGCUCCACCCCUUUCGCCAGCGCGCCGUCCAGCCCCGGCCGUUCCCCUGCCAUCUUCGGCGGCGGCGGCGGCGGCUAUUUUUUCAGUGCACCGGCCAGCCCCAUCCACCACCUGCUGUUCUCGUCUUCCUCGGCUGCCGCUGGUGCCCCUAAUGGCGGCGGGUACGGCGGACUAGGUGACGCGGAGUUCGAGUUCGGCGGCCCUGGCGAGCACAUGAUCUCUGCUGACGAGCUCUUCCAGAACGGCCAGAUCCGGCCGCUCACCCUGUCCCCGCUCCCGGAUCUCGACCCCGACAGCGACGAAGAUGGCAGCGAACGGCGCCACGGCCCCGCGCGCGGCCGCGAGCCCACGUUCCGGAGCGGCUCCGUGCACCGCCGCGCCCGGUCGAUGUCCCCGAUGCGCAGCCCGUCCCCGCGGCUCAAGCUGCUCGGUGCGCUCGUCCCCGCGCCGGAUCUUGGCUCCGUGUCCCUCUCGACCGGGGCGCAGGAGGCCCCGCCGCCGGUCACCGCCUCGUCGCGCUCCUCGUCGUCCUCGUCGACCUCCUCCUCCUCGUCCUCGUCGUCCGCCCGCGGGUCCCGGCGGUGGGUGAUCCUCAAGGACAUGCUCCUCCACCGCAGCAAAAGCGAGCCCGGCAGCGCCCAUGCGCACGAAGCCCCUGCGGCCGCCGCCAAGCCGGAGAAGGCAUGGCAGUUCUCGCCUUCGUGGGCGUCGAGGGACAAGGUCAUCGCGAAGCUGCGCGGGGCGAGGCCGUCACCGCAAUCGGAGACGGGAGCGGCGGCCAGUGGUGGCGUCGGUGAGGGCGACGAAUCCCGGACGACGCGGGGUCAGGGCAGGUCCAAGGGUCGGCGGCGCUCAACGACGGUGGCGGCCGCGCACGAGAGGCUUUACGCGGCGCCGAACAGGGCGCAAGCGGAGGAGAUGCGGCGGCGGACGUUCCUGCCGUACCGGCAGGGCGUGCUCGGCUGCCUCGGCUUCAGCUCCCGCGGCUACGGCGCGCUCCGCGGGUUCUCCAAAACCCUCAGCCCCGUCUUCUCUCGGUAA
rnacentral:rRNA from 1 species